rnacentral:rRNA from 1 species
GAUAGACGCUGGCGGCGUGCAUAACACAUUCAAGUCGAACGGACUUAAUGGAGAGCUUGCUCGAAAUUAAGUUAGUGGCGGACGGGUGAGUAACACGUGGGUGAUCUGCCCUGCACUUCGGGAUAAGCCUGGGAAACUGGGUCUAAUACCGGAUAGGACCACUGCCUGCAUGGGUGGUGGUGGAAAGCUUUUGCGGUGUGGGAUGGGCCCGCGGCCUAUCAGCUUGUUGGUGGGGUGAUGGCCUACCAAGGCGACGACGGGUAGCCGGCCUGGGAGGGUGACCGGGCACACUGGGACUGAGAUACGGCCCAGACUCCUACGGAAGGCAGCAGUGGGGAAUAUUGCACAAUGGGCGCAAGCCUGAUGCAGCGACGCCGCGUGAGGGAUGACGGCCUUCGGGUUGUAAACCUCUUUCAGCACCGACGAAGCGCAAGUGACGGUAGGUGCAGAAGAAGGACCGGCCAACUACGUGCCAGCCGCCGCAGUAAAAC